CUGUCAAGUUUGUGGAGAGAAAGAAUACAUAUAUUUAUUCUAUCUCUCGAAAUAUCUAUAGAUAUAUAUACAUGGGUAUGUUUAUAUAUAGAUAUAUAUAGAUAAUACAAAUGUCAAUUCAGAAUCUGAAGUUCAGAUGAAUAUGUGAUAUAAUAUAAAGAUUAAAAUUAUAUAAAAAUUAUAUUUAGAUUGCUAUAAUUAUAAAUAUGAUAUGAAUAAAAAAGAUAAUGAAUAUAAAAGAUAGUAGAAUCGUUUAUAAGUUUGCAAAGUGAUCCAAUUCAAGAAGAAAUAAAUUACGUUUAAUAUAUAUUCAUUUAUAAAAAACAGCAUUUUAGGUUAUCAUGGCACAAUCAACAACUAGUGGAACAUCUUCUCGACGAUAUAUGAGAGAACAUGAUGUUAAUGUACCAUCUUCAUCACGUUAUGUGGAUAGUGAAUGGGAAACAAAAGAGGCUUUACGACAAAGAGAACUUGAGGAAGCAAGAGCACGAGCUGCACAGAUGGAAAAAACAAUGAGAUGGUGGUCAGAUUGUACUGCAAAUUGGCGUGAAAAAUGGAGUAAAGUACGUAAUGAAAGAAAUAUGGCAAGAGAAGAAGCAAAGAUGCUUAGAGCAAAAUUAGAAAUUGCUGUAAAAGAUGCAAAUAGUUAUAAACAUGAAUGUCAGGAACUUGAAUUACAAAAUGAGCAGUUAAAAAAAGAAAUGGAAAAAAUACAUAUGAUAUUAUUAAAACAUGCUGGACAAUUUGAUCAACAAAUUUUUACAGUUUUAGAAUCAGAUCCACAAUUAAGAAAUACAUUAGAUAUUAACGAAUUAUUGAAAUUUUAUAAUAAUGUAGAACAGAGUGAAAGUGUAAAUUCCCAAAAAGAUUUACUUUCUUGUAAAGUUUCACUUGAUGAAUCUAAUGUUUGUUUAGGAAGUCAUAAUAUUUUACCAGAUAGAGAUAUUGAAGAAUAUGUAUUACAAGGUGCAGUGCCAAAGCAUGCUGUAGAAAUAUAUAAAGAUAGUUCCCUUUAUUCAUUAGAUAAAGAUAUUGUGAGAUUAGUUGAUUCUAAUUCUACAGAAAAUUUAGAGAAAAACCAGUCUUCAUUACAAACAUGUACAGAUGAAUCUUAUGUACAAAAAAUAUUAUUGCUUCAACAUAAAUUGGAUGAAGCUGCAAAAACUAUAUCUACAGAAAGAGAAGAAAAAAAUUCAUUACAUCAUGGUAUGGAGAAAUUAAAAGCAGAAAUAAUGCAAUUAAGAAAACAGUGUGAGGAAUUAGAGGAAAGUAAAACUGAAAUUACAAGAGAAUUACUUGAAUUGAAAGAUCGAUUUCAAAUUGAAUUUAGUGAUGUUCAAGCUGGUAUAAUUGAUGAAGCUUCAAGUAGAGAAGGAAUGAAUCGUCGUUUGUGUGAACUUAGAGCAGAAUUAGAAAGACUUCAAGCAGAAAAUGCAGCCGAAUGGGGAAAACGAGAACGUUUAGAAACAGAAAAAAUUUCUUUAGAACGUGAAAACAAACAACUUCGUAACGAAUUAAAUGAUUUGCAAGAAAGGAUAGAAUCUCGACGAUCACGUCCUGUUUCCACUUCAGAUAAUGAUGCAAGACAAUUGCAACAAGAAUUUUUAGUUAGGAAUGUGACAAUAUUAAAAAAAUCUUUGGAAGAAAAAACAACAGAACUUUCACAUGCCAUGAGAAGAUCAGAACAAUAUGAAGCAGAAGUAAAAAGAGUUAGAGCAAGAGUAGAAGAAUUGAAAAAAGAAUUAGCAGCAGUUCAAGAUGAAGUAGAUGCUGCAACCAACAGUGUUCGUAAAUUGCAACGAGCAAAUGAAGAUCUUUUAGAACAAUUAGAAUCAGCUAAUGUACAAUUGGAACAUUUUCGAAAUAAAAUUGUUACUGACAAUUAAUUUGUUAUCAGUACUGAUUCUUACACAGUUGGUGUAGGAACAGAAGAAACUCUUGAAGAAAAAUUAUAUACAACUAAUAAUAGUAAAUUAACAAAUGAGUUUGAGCAAGCCUAGUAUUUAAUUAUUUUAAUAAUCAUAUUAAAUUAAUUUGACUAAUGAUAAAUGAAAUUUGGAAUGUGAAAAAUAAUUUUUUUUUACAUUUUCUAAAAUAUAUACAUCAAUUGAUGUAGCAAUAUUUUUGAAUUAUAUAAAAUCUUAUUAAAUGUAUAAGUAGAAUAAUUAAUAACUGAACUUAAAUAAUGAAAAGUUAUUAUUUCAGUAUUGUAUUAUUAUUUAAAUUAUAUUUAUAUAUCAUUUUCUUUUUUUUUAUUAAUUUUACAUAUAACUAUGUAUAUAAUUUUUUUCUAAUUUUUUAUAAUAUAAAAAGAUUAAUAUUUUUAUGAAAGAUUUUUUGUAAAUAUUUAAAAUUUUUUUAUUUGUAAAAACUCACAUUCCAAUGUAUUAUGUUUUAAAUAUUAUUAUUUUAUGUAUAUAAAUAAUGUAUAUAAUUUAAAUCAUAAAUGUAAUUUCAAAUUUUGCCUCUUACCUAAAGACUGGUGAAGUUAGAUAAUGGAAGAUUAUAUGUAUUGUCUAUGAUACCUGAUAUUUAUACUUAUUAUUUUUGUGUUAACAAAUAAGAUCUAAAAAAUCGUGAAUGUAUGUAUAUCUAUAUUAUGUAGAAAAUAUUUUUAUUUUAAAAACUAUUUAAAUUUAUAUUUGAUUGUAAUGAAUUUAGAAAAAAAUGUAUUCAAUACAUAUUUAUAUUGAUAUAUAAUUCAUAUCUAAAAACAAAUAGAAAGUAGAAUCUUUUAUUUGUUUAAUAAUGUUUUAUUGAUAAAAAAGUAUAAAUAUUAAAAAUUGCUGUAACAUUAAAUUUUUAAUAAUAUACAUUCAAUACAAAUACCUCAAUAAAAAAUGAUAUGUAAUAUGUGUAUAUGUAAAAGAAAUAUUAUAAUAUGGUUACAUUCAUACGAUAUGAAUGAUCAUAAAUAUUGAUGUAAAGAUAAACAAAAAAAAUAAUCUAAGUUGUAAUAAAAAAAAUAUUUCUAAUAUUAAUAAAAUAUAAAAUAAUCUAUAAAUAAAAUUAAGUUUUUGUAAAUAAUAUAAAAA